rnacentral:rRNA from 1 species
CCUACGGGGUGCAGCAGUGGGGAAUAUUGGACAAUGGGGGGAACCCUGAUCCAGCGACGCCGCGUGAGUGAAGAAGUAUUUCGGUAUGUAAAGCUCUAUCAGCAGGGACGAAAGAAAUGACGGUACCUGACUAAGAACCCCCGGCUAACUACUUGACAGCAGCCGCGGUAAUACGUAGGGGGCAAGCGUUAUCCGGAUUUACUUGGUGUAAAGGGAGCGUAGACGGUUACGCAAGUCUGGAGUUAAAGGCGGGGGCCCAACCCCCGGACUGCUUUGGAAACUGUAUGACUGGAGUGCAGGAGAGGUAAGUGGAAUUCCUAGUGUAGCGGUGAAAUGCGUAGAUAUUAGGAGGAACACCAGUGGCGAAGGCGGCUGACUGGACUGUAACUGACGUUGAGGCUCGAAAGCGUGGGGAGCAAACAGGAUUAGAUACCCCUGUAGUC